UAGGCGAUGGUGUUUUAAUGAGAGAGAAUGAGAGUUUAGACAUUGAGAGGUUCUCAGACUCGUUGAAGCCGAAGAGCAAGUCUAAUAAUAAGGGAUCUUUCUAUGAUUUUCUUGUUCUUAGACCUGAUAACUUCCCUAAAGAACUUCUUGGAGAUAAUCGAAGAGAACGGCCUGUGAAGAGAGCAAAAUGGAGUCAAGAAGCAGAUUUGUUGAAAUUGGAUGUGUUUGAAAAGCUUGAAGCUAAGCAUAAGGCUGAAGGCGCGGAGGAGAAAGAAGAAGGAGAAGAUGAUGAAGAAGUUGAGGAAUCAGAUGGAGAAGAAUCUGAUAACGGAGAUUAUGAUCAGAAUCAAGACUUUGAUGAUGAUGACGAUGAUUAUAAUCAGGCGGAUGAUGAUUUUGAAGCAGUUUAUUGAGAGCACCCUUCUGUUUCCCAAAUGAAUCAAGUUUUGCAGACAACAGAAGCUGAGCAUGUCCCAAGCUUUAGGGGUUUUAGCUGAAACCGUUCAAAUCAAACUGUUUCGGACGCGUUCUGCCAUACUCUCCGUCACGUGUAUUAAGCUGUACGGGUAUGUGUUUUGAGCUUGCAAUCUUCACCAUUCUCGUUGAAACUUUUCUUCUUUAUACUCUGUUGUUGCUACUCCCUCCUCUGUGUUCAUGUAAUCCCACUCCUAUUGGCAAUCUUUUAGUGCUUCUCCUUGAAGACGAGAUUCUCAGUUCUGUGUUGUUAAUCAUUGUGGAAAGAUAUGGCCUGUUAUGAUUAUCUCUGAGGCCUUCUUCUUCUGCCCAUGUGAGAUCCAUUUUAUGGUUGAAUGGCUCUUUCAUUUUCUCUUUCUGCUCUAAGUUGAAUCUCCAAUAUAUGUUCUUAAUCCCAGUCUGUUCUCCAGCAUCUUUGGGGCUUUCUGGGAUUCUUCAGUUAAGGUUAAGCAACUGUCCAGGGAAGAGUUAGGUUGAUAAGUUGUUUGCAUCUGUUGAUGGCGUAGAUUCUGCAGGUCUUUUGGUUCUAGGAAACUAAAGUCUGGAUAUUCUGGUGACACUUAAGUUUCUCAUUCUUAGAGUUGAGUUUUGUUGCUUCAAUUCCAGCUGCACCUAAGUUCUGUCUUCCAAGAGUCUCUUGUCCUUUCUCCAGAAUUGAUUACAGGUACUUUCCUUGAGCCUCUAUCCUGAGCUGCAAAUGUCGCUAUACCUGGCUCAGUUUAAUAUGUUUUAAUGAAAUCAUAUAAACUAAAUGCUUAGUUCUUGUGUCUUUUUCAUGAGAGUUAGUGAACUUGGCUCGACUUGAUUGGUCUUGUUACUACACAUAUAGGAACAAAAAAAUCCAGAUAACACUUAUUGCAGCCUUAAUUAUAGUGAAUCCACAGAGUACAGUAUAUGAUACCUCAAGUUGCUCGUGUAACCUUCUCUGAAUUUCUGUUUGCAUUUGAACGGCAUCACUUAUGGGCAAGUUCCUGGUUGCACUAAUCUCUCACUGUUUCUUUCGUCUGCUUCAGAGGGAUUUUCUUCUACCAUGGUCAUCAAACCUAAAACAGGUUACUUAAUACUUAAUGUCUAUAAGGCUGAUUAUCAAAGAUGGUUGUAUUAGCUAAUACUAAUAGCAUGACUUGCUAUCUCCUCGAAGCUGGCUUCAUUAAUUGAAUAAGAGUUACAUGAUAUGACAUAAGGUUUACAUUUUUUUUUAUUUGUUUUCCAUGUAUGCAGAAAUAAAAAAAAAGGUUUAGGCAUGGUGAUGUUGAAAACAGUCAUGAUUGCCUUGAGCUUCGUAAGAGUUGGUAAGGCUGCCAGUUCUCCUUAUUUCUCUGGCCAGUCUCUUUUGUGAGCGGAAGUUUUUGAUGUUUUGCUAUGCGGAAGUUUCCAACUGGAUUGAUGAUAUAGGUUGUUAAUUUCAUGAGACAUAUUUGGCUUGAUAAUAUUGCUGCAAUCUGAUUGAUGCUGGAGUUUAUUAUAGUCAGAUUGAACAGUAGAGCCAAUGAGGAAGGGUCUAGACAGGCUACAUCUUUGCACAUUAUAAUCCCAAUUUCCAACAUAUGUCCCAAUCAAGUAUACUCUUUUUUCUGGCUCUGGCUCCUAUCAUAUAUAUAUAGCUCUGUAUACAUUUGUUGAACACAUUCUGUCCCAUCUGCAAUGGCAACAUUAAUAACCAUCUGCACUGUUACAAGCCUACAAACUUGUACGGCCUUGUGUUUUUACUUUUUUCAAACGGCCUUGUGUUUUUACUUUUUCAAAAGUCAAACAGAAUCUUCUUAUUGAAGAGUACCUUGUUCGUUAGUUAUAUAAUAUUCGGCUUAUUGAGGUGAAA